UCCUAAAAACCUAGACCCUAAGAACGGCAGCCAUCUCCCCAGGUUUGAAAAAAAAGGAUCGAUCAUUUUUCUUGGUUCUUUCAAUUGAAAAAGAAAGGUAUGCUACAGCGAAAGAGAGUGAUCCGCCGCAAAAGACAAGAGGAGACCUUCCCCUCCUCUGAUUUUUUCGAUCUUCUUCACCAAAAUUAACAGCGGCUAAAAAAGCCAUCUAACAUUUUCUUCUUCUCCGUUCGAAAAAACAAGAUAAAUCUCACUCCCUCUCCCUCUCCGUCUUCUUUCUUCUCAAAUACAAAAAAAAAACUCACAACCAAAGUAGCUGAAAGCUUUCUGGGUUCAAUUUUGGAUUGCAGAUCUAGAAAAAAAGGUUUCAGACCUUUAUUUGGUCUGGCGUAGCUAAUCUUCCUUACAAAUAGCUGUUGAAAUUUGGGAAUUAUCGUUGUUGUUGCUGAAUCUGCUACUUUGUCCAGUAGUUGAGUUCCGACGUUAUAUCCGCUUUUUCAGCCUUUGUUUUGGCUUUCAAGUUUUAUUUGUGCUCAGUUCAUCACGGCUAAGUGCAAGCUUGGAUCAUUGUUUUGGAUGAAAUUUGCCACAAACGUUUCUUUCCUUUCUCUGAAGAGUUUAGCAUUGUUUAGUGCAAGUGAAUGUAUAUUUUGUAUGAUUUUUGGUUUUAAUUAGCCCAUAAUAUCGUCACCUAUGCUAGUGGUAGAGGUACAAAGUCUGUUGGUGAUUUUUGGUUUUCAAAUUUGUAUGAAGAUCAGUAGCUCUGUCCUAAUUUUCUUUGAAUUUGGAUUUGUUUAUGAGCACGCAAUUCGGCUAGGGCACGACAAAUUUAAAUUGGACCUUUGUUGGCUUUAUUCUUCAAUUCCUUGGCUACUGAUUUUGUAAUAGCUAGUAAUUCGACUAAGGAAAUGGGCUUAUAUCUCUUGCUGCCA